rnacentral:rRNA from 1 species
GUGCACCAGUCGCGAAACCUCCGCAAUGCGGGAAACCGCGACGGGGGACCCCGAGUGCCGUGGCAACGCCACGGCUUUUCCGGAGUGUAAAAGCUCCGGGAAUAAGGGCUGGGCAAGGCCGGUGGCAGCCGCCGCGGUAAUACCGGCGGCCCGAGUGGUGGCCGCUAUUAUUGGGCCUAAAGCGUCCGUAGCCGGGCCCGUAAGUCCCUGGCGAAAUCCCACGGCUCAACCGUGGGGCUUGCUGGGGAUACUGCGGGUCUUGGGACCGGGAGAGGCGGGGGGUACCCCUGGGGUAGGGGUGAAAUCCUAUAAUCCCAGGGGGACCGCCAGUGGCGAAGGCGCCCCGCUGGAACGGGUCCGACAGUGAGGGACGAAGGCCAGGGGAGCAAACCGGAUUAGAUACCCGCGUAG